rnacentral:rRNA from 1 species
UGGCGGACGGGUGAGUAACGCGUGGAGAACCUGCCGUAUACUGGGGGAUAACACUUAGAAAUAGGUGCUAAUACCGCAUAAGCGCACGGCUCCGCAUGGGGCAGUGUGAAAAACUCCGGUGGUAUACGAUGGAUCCGCGUCUGAUUAGCUAGUUGGCGGGGUAACGGCCCACCAAGGCAGCGAUCAGUAGCCGGCCUGAGAGGGUGGACGGCCACAUUGGGACUGAGACACGGCCCAAACUCCUACGGGAGGCAGCAG